UACGUAGGGUGCGAGCGUUGUCCGGAAUUAUUGGGCGUAAAGAGCUUGUAGGCGGUUUGUCGCGUCUGCCGUGAAAAUCCGGGGCUCAACCCCGGACUUGCGGUGGGUACGGGCAGACUAGAGUGUGGUAGGGGAGAUUGGAAUUCCUGGUGUAGCGGUGGAAUGCGCAGAUAUCAGGAGGAACACCGAUGGCGAAGGCAGAUCUCUGGGCCGUAACUGACGCUGAGGAGCGAAAGCGUGGGGAGCGAACAGG
rnacentral:rRNA from 1 species